GCUGGUGCCAAUAGCGGUGGGGAAACACCCGGCUCCAUUCCGAACCCGGAAGUUAAGCCCACCAGCGCCGAUGGUACUAAAGGGGCAACCCAGUGGGAGAGUAGGUCGGUGCCAGCC
rnacentral:rRNA from 1 species